UACGAAGGGAGCAAGCGUUAAUCGGAAUUACUGGGCGUAAAGGGUGCGUAGGCGGUUGUUUAAGUCUGUCGUGAAAUCCCCGGGCUCAACCUGGGAAUGGCGAUGGAAACUGGGCAGCUAGAGUGUGGCAGAGGAUGGUGGAAUUCCCGGUGUAGCGGUGAAAUGCGUAGAGAUCGGGAGGAACAUCAGUGGCGAAGGCGGCCAUCUGGGACAACACUGACGCUGAAGCACGAAAGCGUGGGGAGCAAACAGG
rnacentral:rRNA from 1 species